rnacentral:rRNA from 1 species
GAGUUUGAUCAUGGCUCAGAACGAACGCUGGCGGCGUGGAUAAGACAUGCAAGUCGAACGAAGAAUAUUCGGUAGCAAUACCGGGUAUUUUUAGUGGCGAAAGGGUGCGUAACACGUGGGUAAUCUACCGUAAAGUUCGGAAUAACUUCGAGAAAUCAAAGCUAAUACCGAAUGUGAUCUGACAGGGACAUCCCUGUUCCAUUAAAGCUGGGGACCUUCGGGCCUGGCGCUUUACGAUGAGCCCGCGCCCUAUCAGCUUGUUGGUGAGGUAAAAGCUCACCAAGGCUAAGACGGGUAGCCGGUCUGAGAGGACGAUCGGCCACACUGGAACUGAGACACGGUCCAGACACCUACGGGUGGCAGCAGUCGAGAAUCAUUCACAAUGGGGGAAACCCUGAUGGUGCGACGCCGCGUGGGGGAUGAAGGUCUUCGGAUUGUAAACCCCUGUCAUUUGUGAACAAACCUUUUGGUUUAAUAGAUCAAAAGCUGAUAGUAGCAAAGGAGGAAGGGACGGCUAACUCCGUGCCAGCAGCCGCGGUAAUACGGAGGUCCCAAGCGUUGUUCGGAUUUACUGGGCGUAAAGGGUGCGUANGUGGCCAGGAAAGUUUGAUGUGAAAGCUCCGAGCUCAACUCGGAAAAUGCAUUGAAUACUACUUGGCUUGAGGAUCGGAGGGGAGACUGGAAUUCUCGGUGUAGCAGUGAAAUGCGUAGAUAUCGAGAGGAACACCAGUGGCGAAGGCGAGUCUCUGGACGAUUCCUGACACUGAGCACGAAAGCUAGGGGAGCAAACAGGAUUAGAUACCCUGGUAGUCCUAGCCGUAAACGGUGCACACUUGC